AUUGAACGCUGGCGGCAUGCCUUACACAUGCAAGUCGAACGGCAGCACGGGUGCUUGCACCUGGUGGCGAGUGGCGAACGGGUGAGUAAUAUAUCGGAACGUACCUUAUUGUGGGGGAUAACGCAGCGAAAGCUGUGCUAAUACCGCAUAAUCCCUAAGGGGGAAAGCGGGGGACCGUAAGGCCUCGCGCAAUUAGAGCGGCCGAUACCUGAUUAGCUAGUUGGUGAGGUAAAGCCUCACCAAGGCAACGAUCAGUAGCUGGUCUGAGAGGACGAUAAGCCACACUGGGACUGGGACACGGCCCAGACUCCUACGGGAGGCAGCAGUGGGGAAUUUUGGACAAUGGGGGCAACCCUGAUCCAGCAAUGCCGCGUGAGUGAAGAAGGCCUUCGGGUUGUAAAGCUCUUUUGUCAGGGAAGAAACAGCAGCUCUAACACAGUAUGCGAAUGACGGUACCUGAAGAAUAAGCACCGGCUAACUACGUGCCAGCCGCCGCCGUAC
rnacentral:rRNA from 1 species